UUAUAUUAAAUUUAUAUGAGCCAAGAACCGUUAAAUGAUAAUUUAGUUAAAUAUAUCAAAUCAUUUAACAAUUCUUAACUAUCAAUUUCACAUGAAGUUA